GGGAGGGCGGCAUGCUAUACAUGCAAGUCGAACGAGCUUCCGUUGAAUGACGUGCUUGCACUGAUUUCAACAAUGAAGCGAGUGGCGAACUGGUGAGUAACACGUGGGAAAUCUGCCCAGAAGCAGGGGAUAACACUUGGAAACAGGUGCUAAUACCGUAUAACAACAAAAUCCGCAUGGAUUUUGUUUGAAAGGUGGCUUCGGCUAUCACUUCUGGAUGAUCCCGCGGCGUAUUAGUUAGUUGGUGAGGUAAAGGCCCACCAAGACGAUGAUACGUAGCCGACCUGAGAGGGUAAUCGGCCACAUUGGGACUGAGACACGGCCCAAACUCCUACGGGAGGCAGCAGUAGGGAAUCUUCCACAAUGGACGAAAGUCUGAUGGAGCAAUGCCGCGUGAGUGAAGAAGGGUUUCGGCUCGUAAAACUCUGUUGUUAAAGAAGAACACCUUUGAGAGUAACUGUUCAAGGGUUGACGGUAUUUAACCAGAAAGCCACGGCUAACUACGUGCCAGCAGCCGCGGUAAUACGUAGGUGGCAAGCGUUGUCCGGAUUUAUUGGGCGUAAAGCGAGCGCAGGCGGUUUUUUAAGUCUGAUGUGAAAGCCUUCGGCUUAACCGGAGAAGUGCAUCGGAAACUGGGAGACUUGAGUGCAGAAGAGGACAGUGGAACUCCAUGUGUAGCGGUGGAAUGCGUAGAUAUAUGGAAGAACACCAGUGGCGAAGGCGGCUGUCUAGUCUGUAACUGACGCUGAGGCUCGAAAGCAUGGGUAGCGAACAGGAUUAGAUACCCUGGUAGUCCAUGCCGUAAACGAUGAGUGCUAAGUGUUGGAGGGUUUCCGCCCUUCAGUGCUGCAGCUAACGCAUUAAGCACUCCGCCUGGGGAGUACGACCGCAAGGUUGAAACUCAAAGGAAUUGACGGGGGCCCGCACAAGCGGUGGAGCAUGUGGGUUUAAUUCGAAGCUACGCGAAGAACCUUACCAGGUCUUGACAUCUUCUGCCAAUCUUAGAGAUAAGACGUUCCCUUCGGGGACAGAAUGACAGGUGGUGCAUGGUUGUCGUCAGCUCG
rnacentral:rRNA from 1 species